GACGAACGCUGGCGGCGUGCUUAACACGUGCAAGUCGAACGGAAAGGCCCUGCUUUUGUGGGGUGCUCGAGUGGCGAACGGGUGAGUAACACGUGAGUAACCUGCCCUUGACUUUGGGAUAACUUCAGGAAACUGGGGCUAAUACCGGAUAGGAGCUCCUGCUGCAUGGUGGGGGUUGGAAAGUUUCGGCGGUUGGGGAUGGACUCGCGGCUUAUCAGCUUGUAGGUGGGGUAGUGGCUUACCAAGGCUUUGACGGGUAGCCGGCCUGAGAGGGUGACCGGCCACAUUGGGACUGAGAUACGGCCCAGACUCCUACGGGAGGCAGCAGUGGGGAAUAUUGCACAAUGGGCGGAAGCCUGAUGCAGCAACGCCGCGUGCGGGAUGACGGCCUUCGGGUUGUAAACCGCUUUCGCCUGUGACGAAGCGUGAGUGACGGUAAUGGGUAAAGAAGCACCGGCUAACUACGUG
rnacentral:rRNA from 1 species